CAGGCUUCUAUAACUUGUAAGAUGGCGGCGUCCGCAUGUAUGCGUGCUUCCCGGGAUUAGCAAGGCAGCUAGAGGAUGACUUAAUGAGGAGAGUGGAGAAACUGGCCAGUUAAUGAACAUGCCCUGUUCAAGAUGUUCAACUUCUCAGCUGCUGCCCCAGCUACCAUGCGUGCUGCCUGCCACCUCCACUCGAUCAUGGAACUGUCCUUUUCUACUCCAUCUGCUAUCCAGAUUUGCCUAAACCACCAUCCAACCAACAAGGACUAGCCCUCUGAUGUGUGAAUUCAGAUACCAGCCUAUGAUUCAGAGACUGCCACCUGAUAAAGACAUCAUAAUUCAUCAGGCUGUGGCCAGAAUGAUCUCAGUGCCGUCUAGCCCCCUACCACCACCUUUUCUAUAAAAUGUGUCCCUCUGUUCCCUUUACCUAAAUGAAGAAGCUGAAAACAAAAAAGGCUGAAUUGAAAACCUUAUGUCGCAUAAGUGAGGAGUGUGUCCAUCUCAGAAAUGGGCCUUUCAGGGAGCAAAGCCCUAAACACAGAAAGCUACCGGCAAGGACACAUUCCGCUUCGCAUGCACUCAGGGCCUAGAAGCCGCUGGGCAGUGGUACAUCAAAGAAGUCAUGUGCUCACUAGACACAUUCUCCUGCAGAAUUUUCCAAUUGUCCCUUUAUCUCAAAAUGUAUUUGGGACUUUUUAAGCAUCCGCCCCAGCCCAAACUAUUAAGUUUAAAGCACCUUUUAAUCCAAUUUUGUAAUGUCAACCAACUUGGGGCGUUCUUGAGGUACACUUCCCCCUCAUUAUGGGACCGUAACCUUUUGAUUUUGUGGGUGGUCUAAAGCAUUACCUCAGACUAUGUGCCAUUGGCUCAAAUAAACCUUUGGUCUGAAGGACAUUCUGACUCGGUGAGUCCUUUGACACCCCCCCACCCCACUCCAGUAAUGGGGUACCUGAGCAAGUUUGUUGAAAUAAAACAAGAUAGUUUGCUGCGCCA